CCUUAUAAGGACAUUUCGGUCCCUCCCGGAUGAUCUCCCCCGCCCGGAGGCCGCAGAGAUGGGGCAGGGAGCUCGGCCCUCCUGCCUCCCCCGUCCCAGCCCAGCCCUCGGAGUCACGGGCACGGUCAGGGCCGGCCCCGGGCGGGAUGGACAAUGGGAAGCUGCUCGGCCACAGGGACUGACAUUUACCCUCUUUACAAUGGAGACAAGCAUCCGGAGAGGCUCCAUUCAUCCCUGAUUCUAAAGCAGACACCAGCCAAGGAAACAGGAUUGGAUUUUAAACAGCAACAGCAGCUCCAGCCCAUCUCAACUAAUGUUCUCUCUGUUCCUGGAGGACAGUUACUGCCAUUUAUCGCUGGUGCAAAGAUUGAGAAGUGGAGGGGGGAGGAGAGAGAACAAGGGAUGUUGUUGCAAGGCAAGCCUGACUUAACCCUUCACAUUCCAAAUCCUUUCCCUUGCUCUGUAUGGUUAACGAAGGGUUCCCAGGGGACUGUAAUGGUGUUUGGGGCUAAGCAGGCUGAGGGCUCUGUACUCCAGCCCCCAAGUCUUGGUUAACACUAUUCAGUGGCAAGCAGCAAUAGGGCCACGUUAACACCUUCGCCUCUAGGGUCCAUCUAAAUUAAUACAACAGCCCUCCCUCCCUCUCCCAGCCCCACCUCAGUGGGAAGGGAACAGUCCAGCCUCAGGUUCCUGCCCCGCUCCACCGACCCAGCUGGAAGGGAAUCAU